rnacentral:rRNA from 1 species
AUGGCUCUAAGGCUAUUCCUGAUGCGAACACACUACAGGUCCGAAGUUAAACACUCUGAUAUAGCCCUUGAGUUUGCAUAUGGCCAUGUGUACUAUAUUUAUCAGACUGUACAAGACUCUGAAGAAAUAUCGUUGUGCUGUGAUGACAAGUUGGAUGUCCCAGUACCAGCAGACGAUCGAAAGGUGGUCGACGACAACCACGAGAGUUUCCCGAGACGCAUUUCUAACGAUCUUCAUAUUACAGGUGCCCUUGAUGAGCUUAUGAAGGCAGUGAGAGGCGAGCUAUGA